UACGGAGGGUGCAAACGUUGCUCGGAAUCACUGGGCGUAAAGCGCACGUAGGCGGCUUUGUAAGUCGGAUGUGAAAGCCCUCGGCUCAACCGAGGAAGUGCAUUCGAGACUGCAAGGCUUGAGUAUGGAAGAGGGUCGCGGAAUUCCCGGUGUAGAGGUGAAAUUCGUAGAUAUCGGGAGGAACACCAGUGGCGAAGGCGGCGACCUGGGCCAAUACUGACGCUGAGGUGCGAAAGCGUGGGGAGCAAACAGG
rnacentral:rRNA from 1 species